rnacentral:lncRNA from 1 species
UUGGUACGUUUUAACAAUGUGUACCGGAUUAUAGUAGACAAAAAUACCCUCAUUUGUCAUGGAUUCUAAGUUUUAAGGUUAAGGAUAUUUAAAUAAUUUUCAUUCUCAAAACUAUAAAAAAAACCAAACCCUUACUCACCUCUCUCAUUCCUCACAACCCUUUCUCUUUCAUCUCUCUCCCUCUAACAUUUUCUCUGUCAUCCCUACUGUUGCCCCAAUUGAAAAAAAAAAAAAGAAAUUCAGAAACCCUUGUCUAACCCUAAUCCACCUUCCUCACUUAUCCAAUUUUUUUCUCCCUUAUCUCCAUACUCUCCCUCAGCCACACACAAUAAUCCGUGACAUCGUAAUUUGUUGCUCUUGCUCUGUUCUUUCAUUUGGAGGAUGUGUUAUAUAUUUUCCCUUCUUAUUAUUAAAUUAAAUCAUGUAAAUAAAAC